UCCCAUCAUGCCUCAGCCAGCCCGUUGGGACGCCUUGCCUUGACAUCGCCACUGCCCGUAGUUUUCUCUCUCUGCCACUCGCAUCCUGUUUUUGGUCGGGCAGGACGUCGCUUCCUCGGAGAGCUCGAGGCACCUUCCGUGGGAGGGAGGGAGGGACUGAUUUUACCUUGACGACAACCCUGUGAGGCUAACUUUGAAUUGGACUUCAUACUUGCUUAGACAGCCUGGAGUUUCCUGUUUUUAAGAAUAAGUGUCAUACUACGCAGAUAGCAAGAUGAGUUCCUUAAUAGAAACCCCUGAGCUGCCGGCAGUGUUUGAUGGGGUUAAAUUGGCUGCUGUCGCUGCUGUUCUUUACAUUAUAGUCCGUUGCCUGAAUCUGAAGAGCCCAACUGCUCCUCCUGAGCUCAUCUACCAAGACACACCUUUAGCCCGCUUCCUAAUAAAAUCGUGCCCUCUCCUAACUAAAGAGUACAUUCCACCUUUGAUCUGGGGAAAGAGUGGGCACAUCCAGACUGCUCUUUACGGGAAGAUGGG